AGUGAACGCUGGCGGUAGGCCUAACACAUGCAAGUCGAACGGCAGCACAGUAAGAGCUUGCUCUUACGGGUGGCGAGUGGCGGACGGGUGAGGAAUACAUCGGAAUCUACUUUUUCGUGGGGGAUAACGUAGGGAAACUUACGCUAAUACCGCAUACGACCUACGGGUGAAAGCAGGGGAUCUUCGGACCUUGCGCGAUUGAAUGAGCCGAUGUCGGAUUAGCUAGUUGGCGGGGUAAAGGCCCACCAAGGCGACGAUCCGUAGCUGGUCUGAGAGGAUGAUCAGCCACACUGGAACUGAGACACGGUCCAGACUCCUACGGGAGGCAGCAGUGGGGAAUAUUGGACAAUGGGCGCAAGCCUGAUCCAGCCAUACCGCGUGGGUGAAGAAGGCCUUCGGGUUGUAAAGCCCUCUUGUUGGGAAAGAAAAGCAGCAGGUUAAUACCCCGCUGUCCUGACGGUACCCAAAGAAUAAGCACCGGCUAACUUCGUG
rnacentral:rRNA from 1 species